rnacentral:rRNA from 1 species
UACGGAGGAUUCAAGCGUUAUCCGGAUUUAUUGGGUUUAAAGGGUGCGUAGGCGGUCGGAUAAGUUAGAGGUGAAAUCCCGGGCUCAACUUCGGAAUUGCCUCUGAUACUGUUCGGCUAGAGAGUAGUUGCGGUAGGCGGAAUGUAUGGUGUAGCGGUGAAAUGCUUAGAGAUCAUACAGAACACCGAUUGCGAAGGCAGCUUACCGGCGCUCAACUGACGCUGAGGCACGAAAGUGCGGGUAGUCGAAACAGG